GUCAGUGGCAUGGAAAGGAGAUAGAGAAGGAUUAGGAAGAGGAGAGGGCAGUGAGGUGUAGAGAAACCAGAGAGAAUCCUGUGGACCUCAGGUUUUGAACUUGGUGGUGGAAGCAUGAUACUCUCUGGCUUAGAAAUAUUCACUGAAGCACCAUGAUAAAGUGGUUGGGGUUGGGGACAUGGGUUUUGGAACUGGGUAGAUGGUGACAAGAACUCUGGAACUGGUAGACAGAUUUGGUUCAAGUCUUGUUUCUAGGCAUAAGCAACUAAGUUAGUCAACCUAUGCUGAACUUGAUUUCCCAAAGAUCCUUGAGAAUUGUUCUUUAAAGGGGUAGAAGGGGAUGUUCCAGAAGAUGACAGAUAUGAAGUACCCCCACGCAGUGGAGUGCUGAUUGGUCAUUCUCUGCUGUGUGUCAGUUGCUGAGAUUUUUGCAGAGACUGGAAAGGAUAACUGAAACGUGUUCCCGCCUUCAGAGCCAACAUGGCCUAGAAACUGCUGUGUAACUCAGUCAGCAUGAAAACAAUGUUGGAUGAGCCCAGACUGCUUGGAGUUUCCCUCAGCAAGAGGCACUGGGGAAAAAAGAUGACUGAAUUUUCCCUUUCUCUGAAGCUUACACUGUGCCAGGGUAAAUGGAUAUUGCAACACGCCGUUUUUGUUUUUAUAUAAAGUUACGCCUAAUCAAAAUAGUUGCAUAUGAUUUUCUUAGCAGUUAUUGUAGGAAACACCAAUUUUUUUCUGUUUUCUGUCUUUCUCUCUCUCUCUCUCUUUUUUUUUUUUUUUUUUUUUUUAAAGAAAGGGGUUGAUCUGUCUAGCUUGUGAUCCCUCGAUAUUUACCCUGUCUCUGAAAAUCACCUGCCCACCUCCUUGAAUUCUGGUGAAGGUAGUCCCACAAGUUCGUGUUCCACAGGUUGAAUAGGAAAUAGUUAUUCAUUUUACCCCACAAGGUCCAGCAAAAGCCCCGGUUGGGGGGCUGACCCUUACUGGACUCCAUAUGGGACAUAGCCCCAUCUUUGACCUAAGUAUGGCCCAUGGGAUUGUCCUGAAGGUGGCUUCCUAGAGAGAAUGAAUACUGGCCAGGUAAACACAAUAUAGGUCCUAAGUGGGCCUGGGGUGUUCUGGGAUAUUCUGUGUCUUACUACUUGGAGUGUCAUGCUCUGGUCAGCAGCAUCACCAUCACCUGGAAGCUUACUGGAAAUGCAGACUCUCAGACUCUAAGGCCCUACUGUGGGAUCUCAGGGAUCAGGAUCUGUUCUUCACAAGAUUCUCCAAGCAAUUCCUAUGCACGUUGGAAUUUGAGAUGGGUGCAGGGCUGGAGCAAGUCAGGGAACCCUGGCCCGUAUCUGUCUCUUCUUCAGGGCAUAUCCCUGUAUACACACUGGGCACUUCAUCCCCAUCAGGGCCCACACCAUUGAAACCCUAAAGCAGUGUGUGUCAAGAGAGGCCCCACCAUGAUGAAUUGCUUUUAGGUGUUCUUUUAGUUUCCUUUAAGUCCAGGAAUCAGCAUUUCCUUUGUUAGCUAGGUAGAAAUAAUGAGAAAA